UCUUGACCUCGGAUCAGGUAGGGAUACCCGCUGAACUUAAGCAUAUCAAAAGUGGGGAGGGAA
rnacentral:rRNA from 1 species